UAGCUCAGCUGGGAGAGCGCCUGCUUUGCAAGCAGGAGGUCGUCGGUUCGAUCCCGUC
rnacentral:tRNA from 1 species